CGUCAACACUUGCUGGUUUCCUCU
rnacentral:ncRNA from 4 species